GUCCACGCCGUAAACGAUGAGUACUGGGUGUCGCGGGUAGUUGACCCCUGCGGUGCCGUAGCUAACGCGUUAAGUACUCCGCCUGGGGGAUUACGGUCGCAAGAUUAAAAACUCAAAAGGAAUUGACGGGGGCCCGCACAAGCGGUGGAGCAUGUGGUUUAAUUCGACGCAACGCGAAGAACCUUACCUAGGCUAGACAACGGUGGACAUCCCCAGAGAUGGGGCUUUCCCUUCGGGGACUGCCGGUUCAGGUGCUGCAUGGCUGUCGU
rnacentral:rRNA from 1 species